CAGUAGCCGCGGUAAAACGGAGGGUGCAAGCGUUAUCCGGAUUUAUUGGGUUUAAAGGGUCCGUAGGCGGACUUAUAAGUCAGUGGUGAAAGCCUGUCGCUUAACGAUAGAACUGCCAUUGAUACUGUAAGUCUUGAGUAUAUUUGAGGUAGCUGGAAUAAGUAGUGUAGCGGUGAAAUGCAUAGAUAUUACUUAGAACACCAAUUGCGAAGGCAGGUUACCAAGAUAUAACUGACGCUGAGGGACGAAAGCGUGGGUAGCGAACAGGAUUAGAUACCCGUAGUCCCUGUCUCUUUACACA
rnacentral:rRNA from 1 species